UACCAGCACCCCGAGUGGUCGGGACGAUUAUUGGGCCUAAAGCAUCCGUAGCCGGCCUUACAAGUCCUCCGUUAAAUCCAGCUGCUUAACAGAUGGGCUGCGGAGGAUACUAUAAGACUAGGAGGCAGGAGAGGCAAGCGGUACUCAGUGGGUAGGGGUAAAAUCCGUUGAUCCAUUGAAGACCACCAGUGGCGAAGGCGGCUUGCCAGAAUGCGCUCGACGGUGAGGGAUGAAAGCUGGGGGAGCAAAGCCAGG
rnacentral:rRNA from 1 species